rnacentral:rRNA from 4 species
AAUCCAUAGGUUAAUGAGGCGAACCGGGGGAACUGAAACAUCUAAGUACCCCGAGGAAAAGAAAUCAACCGAGAUUCCCCCAGUAGCGGCGAGCGAACGGGGAGGAGCCCAGAGCCUGAAUCAGCAUGUGUGUUAGUGGAAGCGUCUGGAAAGGCGCGCGAUACAGGGUGACAGCCCCGUACACAAAAGCGCAUGUGCUGUGAGCUCGAUGAGUAGGGCGGGACACGUGGUAUCCUGUCUGAAUAUGGGGGGACCAUCCUCCAAGGCUAAAUACUCCUGACUGACCGAUAGUGAACCAGUACCGUGAGGGAAAGGCGAAAAGAACCCCGGCGAGGGGAGUGAAAAAGAACCUGAAACCGUGUACGUACAAGCAGUGGGAGCACCCUUUGGGUGUGAC